rnacentral:rRNA from 1 species
AUUGAACGCUGGCGGCAUGCCUUACACAUGCAAGUCGAACGGCAGCAUGAUCUAGCUUGCUAGAUUGAUGGCGAGUGGCGAACGGGUGAGUAAUACAUCGGAACGUGCCCUGUAGUGGGGGAUAACUAGUCGAAAGAUUAGCUAAUACCGCAUACGACCUGAGGGUGAAAGUGGGGGACCGCAAGGCCUCAUGCUAUAGGAGCGGCCGAUGUCUGAUUAGCUAGUUGGUGGGGUAAAGGCCCACCAAGGCGACGAUCAGUAGCUGGUCUGAGAGGACGAUCAGCCACACUGGGACUGAGACACGGCCCAGACUCCUACGGGAGGCAGCAGUGGGGAAUUUUGGACAAUGGGGGCAACCCUGAUCCAGCAAUGCCGCGUGUGUGAAGAAGGCCUUCGGGUUGUAAAGCACUUUUGUCCGGAAAGAAAUCGCACUUACUAAUAUUAGGUGUGGAUGACGGUACCGGAAGAAUAAGGACCGGCUAACUACGU